rnacentral:rRNA from 1 species
AUUGAACGCUGGCGGCAUGCCUUACACAUGCAAGUCGAACGGUAACGGGCCUUCGGGUGCUGACGAGUGGCGAACGGGUGAGUAAUACAUCGGAACGUGCCCGAUCGUGGGGGAUAACGAGGCGAAAGCUUUGCUAAUACCGCAUACGAUCUACGGAUGAAAGCAGGGGACCGCAAGGCCUUGCGCGGACGGAGCGGCCGAUGGCAGAUUAGGUAGUUGGUGGGAUAAAAGCUUACCAAGCCGACGAUCUGUAGCUGGUCUGAGAGGAUGAUCAGCCACACUGGGACUGAGACACGGCCCAGACUCCUACGGGAGGCAGCAGUGGGGAAUUUUGGACAAUGGGCGCAAGCCUGAUCCAGCCAUGCCGCGUGCAGGAUGAAGGCCUUCGGGUUGUAAACUGCUUUUGUACGGAACGAAAAGCCUUCCUUUAAUACAGGAGGGUCAUGACGGUACCGUAAGAAUAAGCACCGGCUAACUACGUG